rnacentral:rRNA from 1 species
GAUGAACGCUGGCGGCGUGCCUAAUACAUGCAAGUCGAGCGAACAGACGAGGAGCUUGCUCCUCUGACGUUAGCGGCGGACGGGUGAGUAACACGUGGAUAACCUACCUAUAAGACUGGGAUAACUUCGGGAAACCGGAGCUAAUACCGGAUAAUAUAUUGAACCGCAUGGUUCAAUAGUGAAAGACGGUUUUGCUGUCACUUAUAGAUGGAUCCGCGCCGCAUUAGCUAGUUGGUAAGGUAACGGCUUACCAAGGCGACGAUGCGUAGCCGACCUGAGAGGGUGAUCGGCCACACGGGAACUGAGACACGGUCCAGACUCCUACGGGAGGCAGCAGUAGGGAAUCUUCCGCAAUGGGCGAAAGCCUGACGGAGCAACGCCGCGUGAGUGAUGAAGGUCUUCGGAUCGGAAAACUCUGUUAUUAGGGAAGAACAAAUGUGUAAGUAACUAUGCACGGCUUGACGGUACCUAAUCAGAAAGCCACGGCUAACUACGUG